rnacentral:rRNA from 1 species
UACGGGGGGGGCAAGCGUUGUUCGGAAUUACUGGGCGUAAAGGGCGCGUAGGCGGCCUUCUAAGUCGAACGUGAAAUCCCCGGGCUCAACCCGGGAACUGCGUCCGAUACUGGAAGGCUUGAAUCCGGGAGAGGGAUGCGGAAUUCCAGGUGUAGCGGUGAAAUGCGUAGAUAUCUGGAGGAACACCCGUGGCGAAGGCGGCUCACUGGGCCGGUCCUGACGCUGAGACGCGAAGGCGUGGGGAGCGAACGGG